rnacentral:rRNA from 1 species
CGUUGUACACACCGCCCGUCACACCAUGGGAGCGGGUUCUGCCAGAAGUAGUUAGCCUAACCGCAAGGGAGGGCGAUUACCACGGCAGGGUUCGUGACUGGGGUG